CCAAGUUUCUUUUUGUCAGUGUUUUAGCACAGCAGCAGAAACCAAACUAAGACAUGUAGGAGGAAACCUACCCAUGAUCCCCAUGGGGAAUGAAGUUGGGUAAAGAUAAAAAGGAGAAAUGACAGAAGAAUGAGAGCUGGGAAAGGAAUCAAGAGUUUCCAUGGAUGGAAUUAAUUUUUAAAAUGAGUUCUUGUUCCCACAAGUCAUUUCCUUUAUGAAUGACCAUAAAUAUUAGAGCUAUGUUUUACACUGAGAUGAACUAUGUUUUCUUAAAACUGCUUUCACAACUCUUACAUAGCUUCAUCCCUGGUUUCUCUUUAGUUUCUUUUAUAAAUAUCCAUAGUUCCUUCAAACAUUUUUCAUAUGAUUUCAUCUCAAAGUUUAGUGCAAGCCAUGUUUAGCUUCAAGUGUCAAGGCCAGAACUGCCACAAAAAUGUCCAGAUGUAGCUUGGCAUAUGCAGUACCAAGUCCACUGUUUAUGUUUUCUUUCAUGAUCUAGGUACUAUGUAAUUACUACUGGUCUACAAAUGGUAUCAUGACCCUUAAAAAAACUACAUUCUAUAAACAUUAUGCAUUAUGGUUAUAAAUAAUAACUUUCCCCAAGUCUUGUUUCAGGGACUGUUUUUAAACCAGUAUUCCCAUGUUAAAUCUUAGUCUUUUAACAGACUUAACUCAAAGGCAACUUUAAGACCGGGGUCAAAUGUUUUUUCGUCGCCAGUUUCAGUUUGCUGUGCUCAGUUGUUAUCCCAUUGGGUAGAAAGUGGAGUCUCACGGUCAGCAUAUUUAUUCUCCUUUUCAAUCAGUGCUGUAGUCUUGUCUGGAGACGCAGGGUUCCACGGAAGUUCCCGUGAAUCCUGCUCUAAUGAGGUCAUUUGAAGUAUGAUGAAGAAGCAAACAAGAGUGACCGCUAAGCUGAUUGCAUGUAGGUUGGAAUUUCCCAACCUCAAAGAACUGGACUCUGCCAACAAGCUGAGUAACUUUGGAAGACGUCCUCAAGACUAGACCAUGGUUACUACCUUGAUUGCUGAGCACCAGUGGAAGGGGAAGCCCUGGGUCCUGCUAAGAAUGAACCCCCAGUGAAGGUCUUGUUCCGAGGCAGGGGAAGCAUCAGGUGCCUACCGAAGAAACCAAGCUGGCUAAACUAGCAACUGGAGGUUGCUCUGAAGGACAAACCAAGAUUACAGGAAGAGAAAGGGAAAAGUCGUUAGGAGACUCUGCCAGUUGGGAGAGAAUCAACUGGACUAUGACGUUGGCAGAAGCAGCUAUGAGAGUGGACAUAUGUGGGAAAUUUCCCAAAGGGCUGGGAACAGAACCCAGGGCAUGUGUACAAGCUACUACUCACCUACACUCCCAGCCCUGGUGUUCUCUACUGCUCAUUCGCUACCUUUCACCCAGCACCAAAAUGAUGAAUAUUCUGUGAGAUAGUUGACCUUGUAAACUCUCAUGGGAAUGGAAUUAACUGAAAGACGCACCUCUGGGCAGGAUUGUGAGAGCAUUUCCUGGAAGGACUGAUUGAGAUGGACGAUCCUCCCCCAGAGCGGGCAAGCUCCUUGAAGGAACCAAAAUGGAAAGAGGUCUGAGGAAAAAAGCAGGACUGCUUAGCUACCUGCCUUCUCUUCUUGCUGGUGAGUGUGUCUUUCUCCUUGCUGCUGAAGCUGCCAUGCUUCCUUGCCAUCAACCCAGCUCUCUUGGCUUUCCAAGCUGACUGAAAGCCCGCUGGACUCCACGAACCCUCCAGACCUUCAGAACUAGGUAGGCCACGUGGCUACAGUUUUCAGCUUCUCCAGGGUGCAGAUGUCCCAUGUUACCCAGACUGUAGUGUGUGAGUCAAUGUACUAAACCUUCUUUAAUACAUAUUCAUUGUAUUGUUACUGUCUCUUUAGGUGAACUGGGUCCAUUUAAACAGAAACAAAAACCACAGUUAUCCCUGGUUUUAUUUAGUACAUUCAUCAAAACCUGGAAUUUAAUACUGGGAAUAAAAUGGAAUCGGGUGGUCCUUGGAAUUGAGGAAAAUGGAAACAUGAGGGAUUCCCACAUAGAUAGGGAGGACGUUCACAAAUUUGAGGUCUAGAGCCACUAUGAUAUAUAAAAAAGCAUAGCUUUAAUACACUUUAGGGCAGGGUUGUUGAGAGAAGGCAACACUAAUCACUCUAACUGCCUGCCUUCCUUGUAAGAUACCCUCAUUCAAGUAAAACAGCUCUAGAGGCCUCUGCAAGAGCACUGGCUACCUCUCCAACCAGUGGUUUUUUUUUGUUUUUUGUUUUUGUUUUGUUUCUAUUGUUGUUAUUGUUGUUGUUGUUGUUGUUGUUGUUGUUGAUGAUGAUGAUGAUGAUGAUGAUGAUGAUGAUGAUGAUGGUUAGCUCUCUAGUACAUGCUGCCCAUGUGUGUACUCCAAACUGGCCCAACCGUCUCCAGUACCUCUAUCAACAUAAAAAAAUCAUAUCAGUAAGUUCAUUUCUAAAAGAGGGAGAGAAAAUACUACGUUAAGUAUCUUUGUUCUGCUAGAAUGUUCCCUGUUGUAAAUCAGCCUGUGGCCAUGAUCCAAAACUGAAUCUGCACCAUUCUUGAAUAAAGAUAAUCACUCUUAUUGCCCAGAUUAACAACAAUUAUAUUUCUCACGGCCACUUAGUAACAAAAGUCCUCCGUUUUUAAUUAGUUUGGCUUUUUUUUUUCAUACUUAUUUCAUGAGCAACAACAAACAUUGAUACAUUAUUUGUCUCUACUUAAAUAAUUUCAAUCUUCCUUAGUUUUUCACUCUGAACUCUUUGGCCUCAGCUCUGUUCAGAACAGCAUGGCCACCUUCAUGAAGUUUUAGUCAACACUUCCCUCUUUCUCCUGCAAGGUUGUUUCCUAGGCUCCAGGGUAAGACAACUAGUAUUAGUGAAAAGGGUUAGCAUUUUCAGCAUCUUUGAGACUGGAAAAAGGAAGCAAUUUGCCAUGGUCUCACCAUAGCCUUUGGUUGCUUGGACAUAAACUGGCAUAUUUUCAAUGCCCUUUCUGACAUUCAUCCCUAUAGUAUCAACUGGACCAUCUGUUUGAAACUCACUAUGUGAAUUCUGUGAGAAUGUCGCAUUAGCAAUUUCUGUCUCAUUUGGAAUAAACAUGGGAAUCAUUUAAAAAAGAACACUGUUACUUACUCCGUGUCCUUUGAUCUUAAGGACUAAAUGUUGAUUGGCUAUCGUGGCAUUUUGAUGUUAUUUCCGAGUAUCCCUAAAUAAAUACACUUAAGGC